AUACGGGGGAUACGAGCGUUAUCCGCAUUUAUUGGGUUUAAAGGGUGCGCAGGCGGACCGGUAAGUCAGGGGUGAAAAGUCGGGGCUCAACUCCGAUCGUGCCUUUGAUACUGCCGGACUGGAGUGCGAUAGGCGUGGCCGGAAUGUGGUGUGUAGCGGUGAAAUGCUUAGAUAUGCCACAGAACACCGAUCGAGAAGUCAGGUCACGAGUUCGCAACUGACGCUCAUGCACGAAAGCGUGGGGAUCAAACAGGAUUAGAUACCCUGGUAGUCCACGCUGUAAACGAUGAUCACUCGUUGUUGGGGGGUGACCCUCAGCGGCCAAGCGAAAGCGAUAAGUGAUCCGCCUGGGGAGUACGAUCGCAAGGUUGAAACUCAAAGGAAUUGACGGGG
rnacentral:rRNA from 1 species